rnacentral:tRNA from 1 species
GGACUAUCUGGACGGUUCUUUGUCCCCCGCCCUGCUGAGGCGGGUGCGGGAGCAUUUGGCGUGGUGCGGGCCUUGACAGGCCU